rnacentral:sRNA from 1 species
UAUAAAGAGAAUGAAAAAUGGCUUCUGGUACUUAAAUGGUACUGGAAGUAAAAAAGAAUAAUUGAAAUAAUAGUUCCGAGGGGUUUACAUUUGGACAAAAAAUCAGACCGUAGUUUCAAACUG